rnacentral:rRNA from 1 species
UACGUAGGGUGCGAGCGUUGUUCGGAAUUACUGGGCGUAAAGGGCUCGUAGGCGGCCAACUAAGUCGGACGUGAAAUCCCUCAGCUUAACUGGGGAACUGCGUCCGAUACUGGAUGGCUUGGAUUUGGGAGAGGGAUGUGGAAUUCCAGGUGUAGCGGUGAAUGCGUAGAUAUCUGGAGGAACACCGGUGGCGAAGGCGCA